rnacentral:lncRNA from 1 species
CAGCUUCCUAGGAGUUUGUGCCCUGGACUCCCCGGCCCCGACCGCCCGCCUCCCGCGCACUAAGAGGGACUGGGGAUUGACUGGGUCAGCGUGCCUGAGGACGGUCAGUCUUGUAAGAGGAAAGUGGUCACCACUGAAACUCGUGUCGCCCCGGGAAUUACUUAGUUCCUAGAGUCCGACCCGCCGCCAGCCAGCACCGAGAGGGAGGAGGAGGAGGAGGAGGACGGCGAGGAGGACGGCGAGGAGGAGAACGAGCACUAGGAGAAGAGGACGAGCCGGAGCCCGAGCUGGAGGUUGGUGGUUGGUUGGUGGUCGGUGGUGCUGAGCAGGGGGGCUUAGGGCGGUACGAGCGCG